UGAAUGCGUUCCCGGGUCUUGUACACACCGCCCGUCACGCCAUGGGAGUUGGGAGUACCCAAAGUCGAUGACCUAACCGCAAGGGAGGAGUCGCCUAAGGUAAUACCAAUGAUUGGGGUGAAGUCGUAACAAGGUAAC
rnacentral:rRNA from 1 species